rnacentral:misc_RNA from 1 species
GGGCUACAAUAAUUAUUUUUAUAAAUAAUAAAAAAAUAAAUUACGUUGUGGUUUAUUUAUAAAUAAUUAAUAUAAAUACAAUUUAAAAAUAAGUUUAAUAUGGAAUGUGAAAGAUGAGAUGUGAAGUGAUGAUGAUGAUGAUAUAUUAUCGGAACGUGUUGAAAAGGCGAAAAAGAUAACAGUUACAGGUGAUCUACCAUGCCUGCAAAAGCGUUGUUGGCAGGGAGAAGGAGAAGGAUAUUGACCAAAAGAUCUUCCCGUGCAAAGAAGUCAACUACACUGGGUAAGUUGGUGGAUGAGUCGGUAAAAUUGUCCGAGGUUGCACACAUGCACAUGCCAUGCCAACCAGUCCCAGACCAGGUAUUUCAAUGGACCCCACAUUUCCAUUGCAAGAACAAAGAUCAACUGAAAUUAAAAUCUCUGGUCCCCAUCCGAUCCACUCACCACCCUAUUUAAUGGGCAAUACAUAUAAUUAGGUUCAUCCAUCCACCCUAAUGUCUACAAGGCAGCCAUAAUAUUAGUAUCAUUAGUUAUUAUGCAGUUACAAGAUUUAUGGCCAACAGAGACAGAAUUCUGGAAAACCGAAGCAAUCACCCUUUUAAUAUAAAGCAUCACUCUCUGGAACUGUAACACCAGUGCCAACUUCUAUCAGCCGGCAAAGCCACAAAAUCUAGUAUCCAAUCAUUUCAUUCCCAAAUGACUAGAAUGAUAGGCUCACCUUUAAUGCUUUGGUGAAAUGAACCCCACAACAAAUUCCUUUGUUUGUAUGGCGGGUGUAGAAAAGAAAAUUAAUGCAGUCAAUUGAAAUUGACCUCAUUGUUGAUCCCGGAAAGAAUUCAAAACAACAGCUUGAAAUUUCUCUCUAGUUGCUGACAUCUCAAACUUGCAACGGUGAUCAUAGUUGUCCUUCUGGACAGAUGAAUCCAGCUCUUAGCUCUUCAAAUGAGUAUUCAAUUUGUUCCAGAGUCUUUUUCGCUGUCUUAGUAGCAGAAUAAACAUAAGGGGUAGCCGGUGUUAAGGCCAUCAGCAUAGGAGCCGAGAUUGUCGUUGGAGUUGUUGGAAGUGUCUUUGGGGUUCCGUUCUCUUCAUCUCCACCAGAGAUCGAUUUGGUAGGUGUCACCUUUGGUGUGUUAAUACAAGGAACAACUGUCUGAGAUAUCUCAUCUUGCAUUCCUUUCUGAUCUUCUGAGAAAUUUGCUAUGUUAGCAUGAGAAGACAUCCUUAAAGGAAUCGGAGAGAGGGGCUUUCUAAUCAAGCGCAAUUCAGUUGAACAAGCCUUUGCAGAAGACUGUCUCUUUACUAAAUGACCAGCAAUCUCUGAAUUUCUCCUACCAGAGCUCUGAGUUGCUAAACCCCCAUUCUGGGAACCCAAGCAGCCAUUUUGAUACAAACAAUCGCCCGUCUUAUUUAGAUGCAUGUGAGGACAUGAUUUGUCAGCUUUAAAGUUCUGAAGCAACGCUCCACCAAGGGAGAGUUUCCGGUUACUUGCAAAUCCCACUGAAGUUCUAGAAGCCUUCCUUCCACUCUUUGAUGAACUGAAUUUUGCCCCAAAAAGUGCUUCCUUCUCUGCUAUCAGCUGGACCUGAAGUUUCUUCUGGUCUCUUUGUCUUAUCUUUUCUUGUUCCUUCGCUUUCCUUAGGUUGCUGUACUGUUCCAGGCUAGAAAGAAGUCGUUCCUAUGCAACAAAAGAUUAUGAGACAAAUAAUUUAAUUAAACUUCAGUAAAAAUGGAAUCUGAAUCAAGAACAAUGGAAAUAUCAAAUCCAAUCCAGCACAACUUGGAUAAUGAUCAUAUUAAAUUUUGCAAUAAAGACUCCUAGAAAUGGCAACAAGACAGAUCGGAGGUGGUUUAUGCCAUCCCCGUUCCCACCCCGUUAUUAAUAAAUGUGUCGAUCUUGUCUCAUACUUCAUCAGGGUAAUAAAAUCGUUACCCAGCCUCUCCCCGUUGAAAAACUAAAAUCUCCGUCCCUGUCUCACCCCAUUCCACCAAGCCCCUUUUCUUUUAAUUUAUUUUAAGUAAUUAUAAUUCAUGAAAUAAU